AACGAACGCUGGCGGCAGGCUUAACACAUGCAAGUCGAACGCCCCGCAAGGGGAGUGGCAGACGGGUGAGUAACGCGUGGGAAUCUACCCAGUUCUACGGAACAACUGAGGGAAACUUCAGCUAAUACCGUAUACGCCCUACGGGGGAAAGAUUUAUCGGAAUUGGAUGAGCCCGCGUUGGAUUAGCUAGUUGGUGAGGUAACGGCUCACCAAGGCGACGAUCCAUAGCUGGUCUGAGAGGAUGAUCAGCCACACUGGGACUGGGACACGGCCCAGACUCCUACGGGCGGCAGCAGUGGGGAAUAUUGGACAAUGGGCGCAAGCCUGAUCCAGCCAUGCCGCGUGAGUGAUGAAGGCCUUAGGGUUGUAAAGCUCUUUCAGUGGGGACGAUAAUGACGGUACCCACAGAAGAAGCCCCGGCUAACUUCGUGCCAGCCGCCGCCGUAAAAC
rnacentral:rRNA from 1 species